UACAGAGGUCUCAAGCGUUGUUCGGAUUCAUUGGGCGUAAAGCGCGUGUAGGCGGCUACGUGUGUCGGGCGUGAAAUCCCAUGGCUCAACCAUGGAAGUGCACCCGAAACUGCGUAGCUAGAGUCCUGGAGAGGAAGGUGGAAUGCUUGGUGUAGAGGUGAAAUUCGUAGAUAUCAAGCGGAACACCGGUGGCGAAGGCGGCCUUCUGGACAGUGACUGACGCUGAGACGCGAAAGCGUGGGGAGCAAACAGG
rnacentral:rRNA from 1 species